rnacentral:rRNA from 1 species
CACACAUCUAAUUAGGAGCCGGUAUCAGGCACACUCCAAAGCAGCCCAUGACACCUCGCUCAGCCACACCCACAAGGGAAUUCAGCAGUGAUAAACAUUGUUCCAUGAGCGUAAGCUUGAGUCAAUCAAAGUUACAAAGAGUUGGUCAAUCUCGUGCCAGCCACCGCGGUUAUACGAGUGACACAAAUUAAUAUCCUACGGCGUUAAGGGUGAUUAGAAAUAUCUUACCCAAAAUAAAGUUAAGACCUCAUUAAGCUGUCAUACGCUCUCAUGCUUAAAAACACCAUUCACGAAAGUAACUUUAUAUAAAACAGAAUUUUUGACCUCACGACAGUUAAGGCCCAAACUAGGAUUAGAUACCCUACUAUGCUUAACCGUAAACAUCGUUACAAAUAUACUUACCUUAAUACACCGCCUGAACACUACAAGCGCUAGCUUAAAAUCCAAAGGACUUGGCGGUGCUCCAAACCCACCUAGAGGAGCCUGUUCUAUAACCGAUAAUCCGCGUUUAACCUCACCACUUCUUGCCCCCUUCCGCCUAUAUACCGCCGUCGUCAGCUCACCCUAAUGAAGGCAUAACAGUAAGCACAAUGACCUUUACCCUCAGUACGUCAGGUCGAGGUGUAGCGAAUGAAGUGGGAAGAAAUGGGCUACAUUCUCUUUCUAGAACACACGAACAGAAGCAUGAAAAACUUCUUAAAGGUGGAUUUAGCAGUAAGUAAAUUU